CUCUGAGCAUAUUAAUAAAAGCACACCAAAACUUACAGAAAAAACUGAUUUUAUUUUGUGAAUGAAUUUAACAGCCCCCAUAUCUCCAAUAAACAAGGAAAAAAAACAAUAAGGAGAUGAGGGUCUAAAGGGACAAUGUGAUGGCUCUAUGACUGAACGGUCUGCUCUGAAAUUGUGUACCAUGUGCACAGCUCCAUCAAGCACUCCAUCCAACUGUAUGCUUUAUACAAGACUCGCAUUUGCAGCUCAUUAUCAUUUUACAAAGUUUACAUGAACAGUGGACACACCUAAUGGAAACAGCCUGCUCAGAAUCCACAGUGAAGUCAAAAUGCACCACACAUUCAAAUUAUUCAAAAAGAAAACAUAACAUAGAUGCUUCAGCCAGAGCCCACUUCUUCAUGAAAAAGCAGAAUGUGCAGCAAUGGUAACAAAAUACUCGAGAAAUACAGCCGCCAGCUCCUGAGGUCGUGUGCUUCUGUCAACUGUAUGGAAGCAAUCAACAAAGUUGCUUGCCACACACUACUCAAAAAGCAAUGCUUCUAAUCCUGCUCUAGCAGAAACUGAACACUAAUGCUAAAGGGUGAACACAAUUGCAGACACGGGGCAACCUGCAUGCACGGUCCAUAACGAAAUCUGUAAAACUGUACACACACACCCACACGCACAUUGCAGGGAGUAUAAUCGGUGUGAAUGCACGGGUGGCGUCAGUCAGUCGGUCAAUAAAGAACUUUGCAGAAAAUAUUUGACCCACUGUACAUAUUGUAUGGAUCCAAAGGGUCACCAAUCUUGUUAUUGGGAACAUCAACAAUACAAAGCUACCAAUGCACAUGUACACGAGGACUUGAAAGAAAAGUUACAUGCAAAACAGAUCUUCCACAACACGUAAAACAGAGAAAAAAAAAAAGCAGGAAGGAUCUAACAUUAUGACAUUCACUGUGGACUGUGAGCAAACUUCUCUUAGGAGAGAUUAAAAAAAAAA